UGCCAGCCGCCGCGGUAAUACGUAGGCAGCAAGCGUUGUUCGGAGUUACUGGGCGUAAAGCGUGUGUAGGCGGGCUUGCAAGUUCGGUGUGAAAUCUCCCGGCUUAACCGGGAGCCUGCGCCGAAAACUGCAAGUCUUGAGUGCAGGAGAGGAGAGCGGAAUUCCUGGUGUAGCGGUGAAAUGCGUAGAUAUCAGGAGGAACACCUGCGGCGAAGGCGGCUCUCUGGACUGUGACUGACGCUGAGACACGAAAGCGUGGGGAGCAAACAGGAUUAGAUA
rnacentral:rRNA from 1 species